rnacentral:rRNA from 1 species
AUACGUAGGUGGCAAGCGUUGUCCGGAUUUAUUGGGCGUAAAGCGAGCGCAGGCGGUUCUUUAAGUCUGAUGUGAAAGCCCACGGCUCAACCGUGGAAGGUCAUUGGAAACUGGGGAACUUGAAUGCAGAAGAGGAGAGUGGAAUUCCAUGUGUAGCGGUGAAAUGCGUAGAUAUAUGGAGGAACACCAGUGGCGAAGGCGACUCUCUGGUCUGUUAUUGACGCUGAGGCUCGAAAGCGUGGGGAGC